CGGCCGUUGAGAUGGACAAUGGUGGCUCUGUUGAAAGGCUGAGGCUGGGCUCUGAACGAGUGCAUUUUAAUUGAGCACUUUCCACCCUGAGAUCUGUGGGGAUCUGGUGGCCCACGCCUCGCCCAGUCAUUUUGUCUUUGCAGCUUCAGAACCAAGUUAUUGCAGCCCCUUGUUCCCUUUUCAGCCUGGGCUGGUUUGUUCCACAAUGGUGGUUUCAGUGGAUCUCAUUGACCCCUCUGCAGAAGGAGAACUCCUUUUUGUUAAAGGCCCACUGCGUGCCGAGCACAUGAAACUUUCGUCUGAUGAAGGCCUGCGUAUUCAGUUCUCUCAUUUAGAGACUUGUUGAUUUUUCUUCCUCAUUGUCCUAGGCGGCUCAAACCAACUAAGAACACGCGUGUCUCGAAGAACAGCCUUUCCCACGGUCAAGCUCAGCAUGCCUUCUGCCAGACAUGUCCCCUUACCACCAUCUCCAUGGGAUUCAUCUGUACAAAAGCACACUUGCCACUAGUCUGUGAAAUUAAACCUUUGCAUCCU
rnacentral:lncRNA from 1 species